AAAAAAACUGAAAAAAAAAGAAGUGCAUGAAAAAAAAAGAGAGAGAGAUGUUUAAAGAUGAGGUGCUAAAUGCCAGAGACUGUAGUUUCAGGCCUACACAGAAGGCAGGUCAGCUACAGUGGCACAGUAAAUUAGACUUAGAAAAGUAAACUUUCAAUUAUUAUACAGCAACCCUAAAUAUCUCAUAAGACAAAAGUCUUAUCCCAUAUCUUGGAAAACAAAAGUCUUACCCUCUGCCCUUUCCCCCCUCUAUUGCCUCAAGGAGAACCAACAAGAAAGAACAUGCUGGGACUGGUCCCAGUCAACAGAAGUGGAAAGAAGCAGCCAGAAUACCAUGAGAAGUUCUUUGGUGCCUUUUUCUCUAUGAAGGCACAGCACAACAAACAAAGAUAGCAGCAGAGUGUUGGAAGGCAAACCAAUGCAAGAGAGCUGCAUUGUCUCAAUGUCUGUGGGGUUAUAUCCUUUCUAUACAUGCGCCCUCUGAAAAGUCCACUGCAGCAGAACAGCAUAUGCCCUCUGCUUCAGUACAACAUCCUCUCAUAAGACAGCUUCCGGGAAAACAUCACAUGGCACAACCUACUCUCCAAAGAAGCUAGAAAUUUCCACUUCACAAAACAUUUAAGCAUGCUUCUCUAAUCUAGAAUGUGAAAUCCAUACAUUUACUCUCGGGAUGCCUGCUGCUCUGAAGAGUCAAUUACAGCUAAGAAUACUGAAAGACUAUUGGUCAGAUCAUCCAGUACCCACAUAGAAUCAGGCUGGUUGGUGAGCCUCACGGUUUCUUCUGAACUGAACUGCCCUUGACAAUUCAUGUGUGGUGUCUGUCAAGUGGACCGGAUUGCAGAUGCUAAUUUGUGUUUUGUGUUUGUCUAGUGAACUGGACUGAGAACAACAAUGAUUGGAAUCACCCCCCAAAGAACUAUUUCUAAACAUGUCCACUUCCCCUGUCUCCUAAUUACCUUUCUUUUCCACUACUUCUGGUGGGUGAUGGGAUAGAAGGGAGAUUGAACCCUUACAAAGAUAGGUUGUGAAAAAUAUAUGCCUAUAAAACCCUCUGUCCCCAUUCAUGUAUAUCACCAUAAAAGAAGAAGACAUAUAUUGUGAUUGUAUUUUCCUGAGACUAAGUUUGCAUAUCUAACUGACCUUUUUCAUUAUCUAGAAAGAUGUAGCAAUUUGGAAUCCCAAGGAAUAUAAUGCCAAGCUGGGAGCUUUCUGGAUAUAUGAUUAGAAUAGAGCAUCCAAUCCUACCAAACCUUAACACACUAUGUUGUUACAGUAGAAUCCCAGACACUAGACAUUUCUUCUUCUCUAUUUCUGUAAGUCAAUGUUCAGAGAUCAGUAGAUUAAUCAAAAUCAUACAAUAGCUAAAGAGCUUACCCAGGGUCCUACUGACAAUUGAUCUUCUCAUCGCUCCAAACAGCUUCAAUGUCAUGCUAAUUUGGUUUGGAAAGCAGCAGGUGUAGAAACCCCAGACCCUUCCCAACGUGCUCCAAAUUCAAUCAGAAAUGAAAUCAUACCUAUGUGGUAUGAAGCAAAAAGAUAACAAAAUAACAUUAUAGAAUGCCAUGCUGCAUGCUAUCAACAGAAGUGUUCACUGCAAUAUUUUAAGGAAGGGCUGGAGAGAUGGUUUAGUCGUUUUUCCAGAGAACUCCAGUUCAGUUCCUAGCACCCACUUUGGGUGACUCUAAUUUCAGCUCCAGAGAAUCAGACAUCUUUUUCUGCCCUUUAUCUGCACAAAUACAUACACACACACACACCAA